AACGCAGUUGCCGACAUUUUUGUAUAAAGAAGUCAAAGAGCCGCAAAUGAAGAAAGAACUAUAAAUAAAAAAAAAAAAGAAAAAAAGGGAGAGACGAUUCCAUUGACUGGCGAAGGAGGACUCUAUAAACGCUAGACCUUUCGAAGGAUGGUGGGGAGGGCAUUGGCCGAGCACGUUAGGGGGUUGGUUUCAAUAUGAGCCAGCUGGCGCCUCACACGGGGAUCAUCGCUGAUACCUAUGUUCCAUUUCGGUGGAAGCCGGCUUUACGUCCCACGUUUUGUGUACGCACCCUGGAAAAAAGGCAACGGUCUCGCGGAUGAUGCCUGGCAAAACGACGACGUCUGGGAAACCGUAACUGCUGGGUAAUCUACGUUCGAGGGGUUGACUUUACUGCGGAGGAUACGUGGGAGAUGCUUUUCUGAGAAUCCACAAGAAAUAUUUUAUUACAAACUGCGGUUCAGCGAAACUUUGCAAAUUUACUGAUGCAUUGGUAGACUACAUAGCAAUCGUGAAAUUUUUCUGGACAACCGGAAGCGUUUCUAUAGAUUAAGGAAGCUACUGUGAUCGCGUUUUGUCUGUA